UAUCCAUUGAGAUUCUCAUUCAUUUUAUAUGUUUGUGUCUUUUAAAUUUCAGGCAAUUUCUCGACUCAAAAAAGUUUUGGACGACACAGACAUAGCAAAUUUGGAUUCGGAAAAUUAUAAUGAUCUUGUUGAUUCUAAAUUGCUAAAAAAUUAUGAUAAAAUGCAAAUGAAUCAAAUGAUUUAUUGUGUUGCAGCCUGUGUAUAUAAGCCUAUGACAUCACGGCCAAAAAUGAGCCAGGUAGUUGAAGUACUGAAAGGAACAAUAAAACCCAAGGAUUAUAUAUGGCUAAAAAAUGAUAGCAAGUAUCUAUACGAAGGAUCACCGUACGCUUCAUUACCUGAGGAAGCCAUAGACGACUCUUAACAGUGAAUUCUACGCAAUGCACCAAGUUGUCAAUUAACCUCCACUAAGUAAAUGCUUGUUUUUACUUCAGUUUAUUUUUGUGUGCUGCUAUUUGCAUUCUUAUUUAAUAUCAUUUUGUUGUACUAUUUAGUUUGUGGUAUUAUAAUAUUGGUGUACGAUAAUCGAGUUUCUAUUCCUUGGAAUUUUGCUUUAUUUUAUAAAGUUUGCUAAUGUUUCUCCA